GAACACCGCGGCUUGACGCACCAGAGAAUAUCAGUCCGAAAACAAGACGGUUACUGACAACUGAAAGCCGAAGGAAGCGAUCCAGCUGAGAACAAUAUGUGAACAUGAUACCGUCACACCCAGCGAUGCCAGCAGCUCUGUGGCUUUACAGGAAGCAGCAAGUUGCAGCUGAUUUCACGAACGUGCUGGUAUUCUGGAAAACAGAAGAAGAUAAAGCAGCACCAAGAAAGAACGGCUGACAGGAAAAACAACUGAAGGCUGCCAGCACAUUUCUGUGCCUCCAUCACUUGGGAGGACAUUACGCUGACUUGCAUCCAGUUCCUGGAAACUCAGCCCCACUAGGCUACUUACCUAAAUAUGACCUCACCCUAACCUUACACCAAGUCUUCUGACUCAAAUUUAAUUAUUUACUUUUACUUUUACCAAUAUGACUGUUCUUAUUAUCCUUGUGUUAUUCUGUUUUUCUUAUUUAUGUUGUAUAGAUUGUGUAUAUACCUCACCUCUUUAAUUUACACUUGUGUUUUGUCUUACUUUUUUCAUUUUUUUCUUCUGUCACUUUGCUGCUGUGACUUUGCAAAUUCCCCUUUGCGGGACUAAUAAAGGAUAUUCUAUUCUAUUUUACUCUA